UGAAAUGCGGAAAGAUGAGUAGUUGUUAGUUUCUUGCUUAGAGAGUGUCCAUUUGGUGAAAGGACAUCAAGAAACGGCAGCGAAUAUGGUCUUGGUGAUGCAGGAACGCUGAGCGAUUGCGAGGCGGUCAUGGGGACGCCCAUUAUUGCGUUAGGUCUCACAGCUAUUUGCUGUCGGACUGAUUGAGGAAAGUCGUGUGAACGGCUUUCAAACCAAGGUGGUACCACGGUAAGCCGUCCUUGGC
rfam:Lactobacillus casei ATCC 334, complete genome.